GUCUAUGGCCAUGUCAUCCUCAAUGUACUCCAUCUGUCUGAUCUUGGAAGCUAGGCAGGGUCGGGUCUGGUUAGUACUUGGAUGGGAGAAAAGUGGGGCAGGGGGGGAGCUAAGGCCU
rnacentral:rRNA from 1 species